rnacentral:rRNA from 1 species
UGGGGAAUAUUGGACAAUGGGCGAAAGCCUGAUCCAGCCAUGCCGCGUGUGUGAAGAAGGCCUUUUGGUUGUAAAGCACUUUAAGUGGGGAGGAAAAGCUUGUGGUUAAUACCCAUAAGCCCUGACGUUACCCACAGAAUAAGCACCGGCUAACUCUGCGCCAGCAGCCGCGGUAAUACAGAGGGUGCAAGCGUUAAUCGGAAUUACUGGGCGUAAAGCGCGCGUAGGUGGUUAUUUAAGUCAGAUGUGAAAGCCCCGGGCUUAACCUGGGAACUGCAUCUGAUACUGGAUAACUAGAGUAGGUGAGAGGGGAGUAGAAUUCCAGGUGUAGCGGUGAAAUGCGUAGAGAUCUGGAGGAAUACCGAUGGCGAAGGCAGCUCCCUGGCAUCAUACUGACACUGAGGUGCGAAAGCGUGGGUAGCAAACAGGAUUAGAUACCCUGGUAGUCCACGCCGUAAACGAUGUCUACCAGUCGUUGGGUCUUUUAAAGACUUAGUGACGCAGUUAACGCAAUAAGUAGACCGCCUGGGGAGUACGGCCGCAAGGUUA